GCUAGCAUAGUGUAGUGGUUUGACCACUGGACUAUGACUCUGGAGACCAGGGUUCAAAUCCCAGCUCAGCC
rnacentral:tRNA from 1 species